rnacentral:rRNA from 1 species
GACGAACGCUGGCGGCGUGCUUAACACAUGCAAGUCGAACGGAAAGGCCCUGCUUGCUGGGUACUCGAGUGGCGAACGGGUGAGUAACACGUGGGUGAUCUGCCCUUCACUUCGGGAUAAGCCUGUGAAACUGGGUCUAAUACCGGUUCGUAGCCAUUUUUAGUGUGAUGGUUGUUAAGUUUUUUCGGUGUAGGUUGAGCUCGCGUCCUAUCAGCUUGUUGGUGGGGUAAUGGCCUACCAAGGCGGCGACGGGUAGCCGGCCUGAGAGGGUGGACGGCCACAGUGGGACUGAGAGACGGCCCAGACUCCUACGGGAGGCAGCAGUGGGGAAUAUUGCACAAUGGGCGCAAGCCUGAUGCAGCGACGCCGCGUGGGGGAUGACGGCCUUCGGGUUGUAAACUCCUUUCGAGAGGGACGAAGCUUUUUGUGACGGUACCUAGAUAAGAAGCACCGGCUAACUACGUG